rnacentral:lncRNA from 1 species
GACCUCUUUUACCAAAUCAGUUUCCCAGAAAGUGAGGACAUUGAGAUACAUAUCGAAACGUCGUUAUAGUCAUCAGAAGUUAAAGAUCAAACCCUAAUCAAGUUGGUAGAUGUUGUAAAAAUUAUAAUAAUAUGUGUAGCUUUGAACAAUCAGAAUACUUAAUUCAUCUGUCUUUCUUACAGUUUCAUUCGUAUAUAGAUAUGAUCAAAUCAGAAGAUGUGGUAUGAGUGCUAGUGAAACAACUCUCCAUCCAAGUCACAAUUUGUAAAAGUAAACCAUUAUAGGUCAAAACACUGAUAAACAAUGAACCCUCUGAGAAUUAUAAACAAAUUGUAUGCUGUGAAAUUGUCCUGUUAAAGAGACUUGAUAUAAAAAAAUCCCCUUUUCUGCUUACUAUUUUCCAGAGUGCUAUGGCCAAGAAAGUUUCUCAGAGGGUUCGUUGGUGUCGGUGGUAUGAUAGAAAGAAACCUAUAUCAUGGUAAUAAUGGCUCCCUAUUCAUUUUUUUUUUUUAAACAUAUUUUGUUAGUUUAAUCACCUGUUACAUCAACCCUAAAAAGCAACUAAGGUGGCCUGGAUUUUUUAGUCUGGAUUUUUUAGUCUCAUUUGCCAGGGAAAAAGCAAAUGAGGGAAAAAAUAAACUCCAAUUAUGACUCAUUAACAUCUAUCUUUAUAAUCAUCCUCUAUCUAUGUACAAAUGAACAUGUAAUUAUCCUCUAACUGUAUAUUAUUACAUCUCAUCAUAUAUCAUUCGAAUAAAUUAAAGUAUCCAUACUAUCUGUAAAUAUUUUUUUUCUCACAAAAGCUACCUGUAUUUAUUCAUAUUUUAAAUUAGAUUAAUACUGCAGUCCUACUAGAUCACGAUCGCACUACAAUCUGUGAAAAAAAUGAAUAUUUGACGAUCGUACUGCAAUCAUGCAGAUCGCAGUAAGGUUGUAUUACGAUCGUUAUGAGAUCUUCAUGAUCUUGGCCAACUUUGAACAUGGUCAAAAGCAAUCGUGGUGUGUUCAUGGCCAUAUCAAAAAAUAUUUGUUAAAAUAUAGAUGCUGUGUUUCUCAAAAGGUAUAUAUAUUAGAAUACUAUGAAAUCAAACUUAGAGUUUCUUUCUGGUGAUUGCUGACAUUUAGGAUAUAUGAUUUGCCUAUAUAUUAUAGAUAAUUACAAUUUCAGAAAAGCUCCAUACAGAUACAUGUAUCAGAUUUCAGAAUGCUAGUUCUUAUUAUUGUUACACUUUAUAACCAGCUCUUAUUCACAUCAAUAAAACCAUCACUAUAAUUUCUGGAUUACAGUAGACAAAGGUUUUGGUUUAAUAAAGUUAAUCUUGAAGAUGUUGUCAAGAAGCUUGAUACAUUAGCUAAGUAAUGCGUAGUAGUCAACAAUGAGAACAUAUUAAAAUGUGUACAUGUGAAAAAAUAGCAUCUUGAUAAAGAUUAGGGAGUUACCGCCCCAGUGACUGAAAAUAGAAUAGUGUGAGCUAGUCAUCCUCAUGGUGUCCUAUGAUUAUAAACACAUAUGGAUUCAUUUAUUUUGUGGGUACAGUGUAACCUGUGUUAUCUGACUCACUGGGGGGUCAGAAAAAAAAUGUCUGUUUAAGCAGGCUGUUGCAAUUAAUACUUAGGUAUUUUCUGCAAAGAUAGGCAUAUUUUGGGACCAUGACAAAUGUGUGAUAAAAGCAGAUUGUUUGAAUACGCAGGUGUUGGAUUAGACAGGUUACACUGUACAUGUACUACUUUUUUUGUUGUUUGAGAAAAAAAAAUAUUUUUGUGGUUUUGUCAAAAUCUGCAUACAAGCAUAUAGAUUUAACUUUGUUGUUCACCUGUACCACGAAAUCCAUGAAAAUUGGAUUCCAAAAAAUAAUUAGGAAUCCACAGUAUACACACCAAUAUCUUACAAAACAUUUUAGAUAACUCAAAAUUUUCAGGGGGAAUGACAGAUUUUAUUUUGUUUUCUCUUUUCAGACACUUUUGGCCUUAAGAUUAUCAUCAAAAAUUCGUAAAAUAAGAUGGAAAGCUAAACAAGAAUUGAACAAAAGACAUUGGCCCACUUCAUAGGAUAUCGUACAGUUCAUUAUAUAAUAUCCAUCUUAGCUGAUUAUCAUUCUCCGCCAUCAUGACUAUUUAGGAUGACUAGUUGAAGAAAGAAAUGUUAACUAUUUUAUAACCAAGAAGCAUGCAAUAUAUAUCUAUUUAAAAUGUUUUUCACGAGUUGCAAUUUUUAACUGUGAAUUCAUUAUAUUUUGUUGGAUACCAAUUUUUGUGGGUUCAGACAAACCACUAAUUUAAAUUUUCUGUAAGCUUGUAUGCAACCAUUAUCAAAACCACAAAAUCCAAUAUCCACAUUUUUCCAUGAAAAUUGGUACCCAAGAAAAAAAAAGAAGUCACAGAAUUUUAUUAUAAAAGAGGAAAACUAACUGAAAAAAAGAUAAUUUUGAUGAGUUUUGAAUGCUUGUAUAGGAACUCUAAAAGAGUAAUCAGUGUUUAUAAAAUGGUUGGCAUCUAUAUCAACUAUGUUUAGUUUAUAUAAUACAGUGAAGAAGGGUAUACUGUUUGUUUCAGAGUGGACUUGCACAUUCAAUAUCUGCCAGUAUUCGUAAUUUAAGAUGGACUGCCAGGAAAAAAGCCAAGGCCCACCAAGCACAGAUAUUUAAAAUGUGAACUAUCAAAAAAAUUUGUACAUAAAUUUUGUUAGUAUUACAUUACUGUUAUUCAUUUUUAUGCAGAUCAUUUUCUGAACAUGUACUAAUAUUGUACUUUCAGACUGAAUAUUCUUACCAUGUGUCACAAAAAGUUCGUAAUUUACGGAAGAAAUUUCGUCGCAUAACAAAAGACGGAACAGAAUUUUAGUUUGUAUAAUUGUUACGAUUUUUAUUACGUUUUGUAUAUACUCCAAUUUAUGGAAGAGUAUGUGACAGGUGAAUGAAUAGAAGAAUGGUGCUGACAUUACAAGAAAUUAUCAUCUACUUUCAGACAAGUUUUUCAAAGGCGGUAUCCCACAGUGUGAGAAAUAUUCGUUGGAGGAUUAAAAAACAGCAACAACAAUUUGCAUACAAUUGAGAGAAGAAUUAAAUGUCAUAUGUCUCUAUUUUAAGUUUUAUCAAUUAUAUAUGAUUUCAUGUACUAGUUGUAUAUUUCAUUUAUAAAUAAUAUUGGUCAAAGACACAUUAUUUUCUAUCAAUCAAAGUACCUCUGAUUUUAUUUGUCAGACAUUGAUUCUUUAUCACAAGGUAUUCCUAUACACUGGGUCGUGCUAUAAUCAUGCAUUCAGUGGUUUAUUUACGAAUAGUAAAAUUAUGCGGCAGGUGAAAGGGAAAAAUUGACCUAACUAUGCAGCAAUGCUCAGCAAUAUACAGUACAGUAAAUUUGAUUGCUGUUCUAAUGUUUUUAUCUUAUUAUGAAAUAUCCAUUAAAUGUUUGUUAUCAUUAUUAAGUGCUAUAGUUUUAAGCAAGUUAAGAUCACUGGUUCAAAGGGAGACACAUAUUUUAUUCUAUUGAUAAGGUUAUACAAACAUCUUCAAUCAUGCUGUAUUUAUAAAUAUCUAUUUUAAUCUUCUUCAUACAUCAACACAUGCGCUAGUACUUGCUAGUACAUAAAGUAAGAAAGUAAAAAAACAGAAUAUAGAUAAGUGGUAUGAUUGUGAAUGAGACAACUAUCCAUAUAGACAAAAGGUCAAAAAUAGGAUCAACUACAGGUGACUGGACGAACCUCAGCAAGCAAAACCUAUACUGCAUAAAGUUAGCUGUUAAAUUUGGAUUUAAAAACAGGCACUUUGGCCCAUAUUAUAUCUUCUUGAUGAUACCUGUGAAAAAUCACAUACAUGUCUAGAUUCUUUUGUAUAAUAAAUGAAAUAUAUAUAUCAAAAAUAGCUUUAGUCUUUCUCAACAUAUAUCUAAUGAUUUAUUACACUUUAAAAUGAUAUAUGUACCUAAAAUCUGAAAGCAUUGGGCAUACACUGUAAAAAGAUCAAUAUGUAUAUUUUGUUUCUAGGUAUAGGCAGAAAUAAUGACAUAUUUCCAAUUGUGAGGUCUAUAUCCUUACUUUAAAAUACAUGUAGUGACAAAUUUAAAUCUUAAGAUUUUAUGCUUGUGAUAUCAAGAUUAUUAAUUUUCUGUUGUGUAGGAAACAAUAGAUAUAGGAAGAUGUGGUGUGAGUGCCAAUGAGACAACUCUCCAUCCAAAUAACAAUUUAUAAAAGUAAACCACUAUAGGUCAAUGUACAGCCUUCAACACAGAGCCUUGGCUUACACCGAACAAAAAACUAUAAAGGGUCCCAAAAUUACUAGUGUAAAACCAUUCAAACGGGAAAACCAAUGGUCUAAUGUAUGGCUUUUUAACAUGAGUUUCUUCAAAUCAAAAUGUUUCUGGUAUGUUUUUUUUUUUUAUCAAAUCAAAAACACACAUGUUGAAACUAUGAAAGGUAAAUUUUGCAGAC